CUACACACGUCAUACAAUGGGCUGGUACAAAGGGUUGCCAACCCGCAGGGGAGCCAAUCCCAUAAAGCCAGUCGUAGUCCGGAUCGUAGUCUGCAACUCGACUACGUGAAGUCGGAAUCGCUAGUAAUCGUGGAUCAGAAUGUCACGGUGAAUACGUUCCCGGGUCUU
rnacentral:rRNA from 1 species